rnacentral:rRNA from 1 species
CAGCAGCCGCGGUAAUACGGAGGGUCCAAGCGUUAUCCGGAAUCAUUGGGUUUAAAGGGUCCGCAGGCGGUCGAUUAAGUCAGAGGUGAAAUACCAUAGCUCAACUAUUGAACUGCCUUUGAUACUGGUUGUCUUGAGUCAUAUGGAAGUAGAUAGAAUGUGUAGUGUAGCGGUGAAAUGCAUAGAUAUUACACAGAAUACCGAUUGCGAAGGCAGUCUACUACGUAUGUACUGACGCUGAGGGACGAAAGCGUGGGGAGCGAACAGGAUUAGAUACCCUGGUAGUCCACGCCGUAAACGAUGGAUACUAGCUGUUGGGCAUCGGCUCAGUGACUAAGCGAAAGUGAUAAGUAACCCACCUGGGGAGUACGGUCGCAAGAAUGAAACUCAAAGGAAUUGACGGGGGCCCGCACAAGCGGUGGAGCAUGUGGUUUAAUUCGAUGAUACGCGAGGAACCUUACCAGGGCUUAAAUGUAGAUUGACAGCUUUAGAGAUAGCGUUUCCUUCGGGCAGAUUACAAGGUGCUGCAUGGUUGUCGUCAGCUCGUGCCGUGAGGUGUCAGGUUAAGUCCUAUAACGAGCGCAACCCCUGUCGUUAGUUGCCAGCAUGUAAUGAUGGGGACUCUAACGAGACUGCCGGUGCAAACCGCGAGGAAGGUGGGGAUGACGUCAAAUCAUCACGGCCCUUACGUCCUGGGCCACACACGUGCUACAAUGGUAUGGACAAU